GCCGCGUUGGUCUAGUGGCUUAGGACGCCGGCCUCUCACGCCGGAAAUCACGGGUUCGAAUCCCGUACGCGGUACCA
rnacentral:tRNA from 1 species